rnacentral:rRNA from 1 species
GACGAACGCUGGCGGCGUGCCUAAUACAUGCAAGUCGAGCGAACAGACGAGGAGCUUGCUCCUCUGACGUUAGCGGCGGACGGGUGAGUAACACGUGGAUAACCUACCUAUAAGACUGGGAUAACUUCGGGAAACCGGAGCUAAUACCGGAUAAUAUAUUGAACCGCAUGGUUCAAUAGUGAAAGGCGGUUUUGCUGUCACUUAUAGAUGGAUCCGCGCCGCAUUAGCUAGUUGGUAAGGUAACGGCUUACCAAGGCGACGAUGCGUAGCCGACCUGAGAGGGUGAUCGGCCACACUGGAACUGAGACACGGUCCAGACUCCUACGGGAGGCAGCAGUAGGGAAUCUUCCGCAAUGGGCGAAAGCCUGACGGAGCAACGCCGCGUGAGUGAUGAAGGUCUUCGGAUCGUAAAACUCUGUUAUUAGGGAAGAACAAAUGUGUAAGUAACUAUGCACGUCUUGACGGUACCUAAUCAGAAAGCCACGGCUAACUACGUG